AAUUAAAUCCUAAUCAAACCCUAAUCAAAUCUUAACCAAAUCCUAGUCAAAUCUUAACCAAAUUCCAACCAAAUCCUAAUAAAAUCCUAACCAAAUCCUAAUCAAAUCUUAACCAAAUCCUAAUCAAAUCCUAACUAAAUCCUAAUCAAACUUUAGUAAAAUCUUGACCAAAUCUUAAUCAACCUUAAAUAAAUCCUAAUCAAAUCCUAACAAAUCCUAUCUAAAUCUUAAUCAAAUCUUAAACAAAUCUUAAUCAAAUUUUAAUCAAAUCCUAAUCAAAUCCUAAUCAAAAAUUAACCAAAUUCUAAUCAAAUCCUAGCCAAAUCCUAAUCAAAUCCUAAUCAAAUCCUAACCAAAUCCUAAUCAAACCUUGCUCAAAUUCCAACCAAAUUCUAAUCAAUCCUUAAUAAAUCCUAGUCAAAUCAUAAACAAAUCUUAACCAAAUCCUAGUCAAAUCCUAAUAAAUCCUAACUAAAUCCUAAACAAAUCCAAAAAAACCUUAAUCAAAUUCUAAUCAAACCCUAAACAUACCUUAAUAAAAUCCUAAAUAAUCCAAGUAAUUCCUACAACAGGUUUAAAUCUCAAUAACUAAUGAAUGAACCAUCAAUUUUAAUUCAAAUUUUGUAUACCUCUUCAAAAUUAAGUUGACUACAAGCACAAUUUUUUUGAAGAAGAUCAAAUUCACCAAAAAAAGAUUAAUUCUAAUAUUUGCUCGAAUGUUAGCCGGCCUCCUUCUUCAAUCUGAAUGUUGAAUUUCCAGCAUCAAUAUCUCCUUAUUAAACUAUUUGAUUGAUCUCAAAUUUCUCAUAUAUGUAGAAAAAUAAUUCUAUUGUUGACAUAUAUAAUUUUUAUUCCAAUCCAAGUGAUAGAUUGCAAGAAAUCUUAGAAUUCUUCACUAAACCUAAAACUCUACUUUUUAAGAUCCCAAUCCACUUAAACCUCAAUAACCCUUGAUCCAAUCCUUCAAUCAAACUAAAACUUACAACAUAUAUUAAAAAAAUAUAUAUCCACAAACUCUCAAAAUUUCACCUACAAAUCUAUUGCCAAACUUAUGAAAUUCUCCAAAUAUUAUCACCCACUUUAUUUCACAAAUUCAGUGCCACCCAAA
rnacentral:lncRNA from 1 species